GAAAAAGCUCAGCGGUUGGAGCAUCUGCUUCGUAUGCAGAGGUCCCACGUUCAAGCCUCGGCAUCUCCA